rnacentral:rRNA from 1 species
UACGUAGGGGGCAAGCGUUGUCCGGAAUUACUGGGCGUAAAGGGUGCGCAGGCGGUUAUAUAAGACAGAUGUGAAAUCCCCGGGCUCAACCUGGGAACUGCGUUUGUGACUGUAUGACUAGAGUACGGUAGAGAGGGGUGGAAUUCCUGGUGUAGCAGUGAAAUGCGUAGAUAUCAGGAGGAACAUCGAUGGCGAAGGCAGCCCCUUGGACCUGUACUGACGCUCAUGCACGAAAGCGUGGGGAGCAAACAGG